UACUCCUACGGGAGGCAGCAUACUCGUAUGGGAGGCAGCAGUGGGGAAUAUUGCACAAUGGGCGCAAGCCUGAUGCAGCGACGCCGCGUGAGGGAUGACGGCUUUCGGGUUGUAAACCUCUUCAGCAGGACGAAGCGCAAGUGACGUACCGAAA
rnacentral:rRNA from 1 species